AUACGGAGGGUGCAAGCGUUAUUCGGAAUCACUGGGCGUAAAGGGUGCGUAGGCGGUUUGAUAAGUCUGAUGUGAAAUCCUAUGGCUCAACCAUAGAACUGCAUUGGAAACUGUCAGACUAGAAUACUGAAGGGGCAGAUGGAAUUAGUGGUGUAGGGGUAAAAUCCGUAGAUAUCACUAGGAAUACCGAAAGCGAAAGCGAUCUGCUGGGAAGUUAUUGACGCUGAGGCACGAAAGCGUGGGGAGCAAACGGGAUUAGAAACCCUUGUAGUCC
rnacentral:rRNA from 1 species